UUAUGCCUACGGGGGGCAGCAGUGAGGAAUAUUGGUCAAUGGUCGGGAGACUGAACCAGCCAAGCCGCGUGAGGGAUGAAGGUACAGAGUAUCGUAAACCUCUUUUGUCAGGGAACAAAGGCGGGGACGUGUCCCCGGAUGAGUGUACCUGAAGAAAAAGCAUCGGCUAACUCCGUGCCAGCAGCCGCGGUAAUACGGAGGAUGCGAGCGUUAUCCGGAUUUACUGGGUGUAAAGGGAGCGUAGACGGCAAUACAAGUCGGAAGUGAAAUACCCGGGCUCAACCUGGGAA
rnacentral:rRNA from 1 species